CUCCCAUGGGAGCAAGCUCUAAAGUCUGACCCAUGUCCCAAUUAAGUUUAUAGCAUCUCACAUCUGAGUCUACCUGAAUUGUGAAAAGAAAUGUACCUGCCAUGAGUCAUCGACUUUCUUCUUCCAGUUUUUCACCAGUAAGAAGCAUCUUAACAGAGAUGAUUGGAAUAACUGGUCCCAGUUCCGUCCUGGAUUGAAUUUGUGAACAUCCGUCUUAACAUGAUAUUAUAUCCCAAAGUUCUAAAUUUAUUACCCAAAACACUAGCAGUUCCUGAAUCAUCUGUUAUGUGACACAAGUUGUUACCCAUAAUAAGAUACUGAAGGUUAUGAAUGAAUUGCUUUCUAUUUUGUAAAUUAGGACAUAGUAUUUUAGUACACUAACAUUAUUUCUAUUCAUUUAAAUUCCAAUGUGUUUUCUUAAAUUGUAGGAAAAAAAUUAUGGUGUGAUAGCUAGUAAACCAGACAUCAUAUCUCACCUUCUCAACUGUAUCUUCUAAGGAAUGCUAUCAUUUGUGUUAUACGAUAUAUUAUCUCUAGGUUUGGUGUAUAUUUCUACUAAGUGAUCACGCCUACUUAUUUUCCCUUGGAAAAUGGAUCAAGGAGAUAAUUUAUUAACUGAUUUAAUAAAUUUCCCAACAUUUUGCAAAGUAUUAGCAGUGGAACAACUUGUUACUUGUGAGAUCAGAUGCCACUGCCAGUUAAGACUUUGCUUUGUUUAACAAAGCUGACUUUCUUCUUCUAAACUUGUAAAUAGGCAUAUAAAAUAAGCUUAAAUCCUGAAAUUUGAUGAGUCAUUAUUAUGAUAAAAUUUCAGAGUAAAAUUGCCAUGAAAAGUCGAAAAUCUUUCAAAGAAAGAGCAUUUUCUUUGAACAGUGUUUGUGAAAACUCUGAUUUUAUGUAUAGGUAUAUAUGUACACAAAAUCUUAGGUACAGAUUUUUUUGAGUGAAGUAUAAUUAAUUUAUACAAUACUGUGUUAGUUUCAAGCAUACAGCAAAGUGAUUUCAGAUGCUUUUCCAUUAUAGGUUAUUAAAAGAUAUUGGAUGUAGUUCCACAGAAUUUCUUCUAAUCAGACCUACUAACCUUUAACAAAUAAAAAUUGCACUUACUGAAAUCA
rnacentral:lncRNA from 1 species